CUGGCUCAGGACGAACGCUGGCGGCGUGCCUAACACAUGCAAGUCGAACGCCCUUCCCUCGUGGAAGGGAGUGGCGGACGGGUGAGUAACACGUGGGUACCUACCCCGAAGUGAGGAAUACCGGC
rnacentral:rRNA from 1 species